AACUAGGCGCUGGCCAGCUGCAGCAGCGCAGGCCCCAGGCCCGACGCGCAAGCCCUGGUGCAGGCCCUGCGGGACCACGACCGGGAGCAGGCCAGAGCCCUGGGGCCGCGGAUCCAGCUGGUGACGGAGCAGUGCAAGCAACGCAUUGAGCGCUGGCCCGAGGUGCAGGCCGCCAUUGAUGCCUGGUGGGAGCAGCCGGGGCAGUUUGUCCUGCCUGCGGAGCAUCGCCUGGGCCUCACCUUGCAGCAGUGGCUGGAGCGCUGGACCCUGGCCCUCAAGACCCUCCAGCAGCAGCAGCAGCACAGCUGGGCCUGAUGGCCCCGUCCUGCCUGGGAGGGGCUGGGGAGCCCCGCCCCCAAAGGGUGCAGUUGUAGGUAGCCAUACCCCUGUUAGGGAAGGAGUGUGGGUCGGACACGACUAUCUGGGGUGGAGGUUUGGGGGGCUUAGCCCAGUCCAGUCCAGCUGUCUCCUCUUGUGCAAAGUGGGGAGAGUCAGUGUUAAGGGGGGAGUCCAGAUGCUGGUGGUGGGAACAGAAGUGGGGGAGCUGGUGUCCGGUGAGUGGGGGGCGUCCCAGAUGGGUUUUGUGGCGUUCUGUAAUUCACAAUGUUCUGAAUAAACUGACUAAAUUCA